ensembl:snoRNA small nucleolar RNA SNORD35
UGGAAGUGAUGUUUUUUCUCACGAUGGUCUUCCAAGCCUCUCGAGGUUCUGACGACGACGCCUUAUGGCAAUGCUGAUCCAGUCCU